rnacentral:rRNA from 1 species
AUGAUGGAGAGUUUGAUCCUGGCUCAGGACGAACGCUGGCGGCGUGGAUUAGGCAUGCAAGUCGAACGGUAGUAUCCCUUCGGGGAUAUGAGAGUGGCGAACGGGUGAGUAACACGUAGGUAAUCUACCCUCAAAUCGGGGACAACCCAGGGAAACUUGGGCUAAUACCGGAUGAGUGCAGCACCUUGAUUUUCUGGUGAAGGGUGAACAGUGAACAGUGAAAGCUGGGCAUUAAUCAUCAUAUAUUGGGAAAUGAAGGUGCUGUAUAAAAGAUGGCGUAAGCUGUCGUUUGGGGAUGAGCCUGCGCUCUAUUAGUUAGUUGGUGGGGUAAUGGCCUACCAAGGCGAUGAUAGAUAGGCGGCCUUAACGGGUGGUCGCCCACACUGGGAUUGAGAUACGGCCCAGACUCCUACGGGAGGCAGCAGUCGAGAAUAGUCUACAAUGGACGAAAGUCUGAUAGUGC